rnacentral:rRNA from 1 species
UACGGAGGUUCCAAGCGUUGUUCGGAAUUACUGGGCGUAAAGGGAGCGCAGGCGGUCUGGUCAGUCUAAAGUGGAAGCCCGGGGCUUAACCUCGGAAAGCCUUUGGAUACUGCCAGACUUGAGUACGUGAGAGGAAGGCGGAAUUCAAGGUGUAGCGGUGAAAUGCUUAGAUAUCUUGAGGAACACCAAUGGCGAAAGCAGCCUUCUGGCACGAAACUGACGCUGAGGCGCGAAAGCGUGGGGAGCAAACAGG